CCUACGGGAGGCAGCAGUGGGGAAUCUUGCGCAAUGGGCGAAAGCCUGACGCAGCAACGCCGCGUGCGGGAAGAAGGCUUUCGGGCUGUAAACCGCUUUCAGCAGGAACGAAAAUGACGGUACCUGCAGAAGAAGGAGCGGCCAACUAUGUGCCAGCAGCCGCGGUGAUACAUAGGCUUCAAGCGUUGUCCGGAUUUAUUGGGCGUAAAGAGUUCGUAGGCGGUCGAGUAAGUCGGGUGUGAAAAUUCUGGGCUCAACCCAGAGACGCCACCCGAUACUGCUUGACUUGAGUUCGAUAGGGGAGUGGGGAAUUCCUAGUGUAGCGAUGAAAUGCGCAGAUAUUAGGAGGAACACCGGUGGCGAAGGCGCCACUCUGGAUCGAUACUGACGCUGAGGAACGAAAGCAUGGGUAGCAAACAGGAUUAGAUACCCUGGUAGUCCAUGCCGUAAACGGUGGGCACUAGGUGUGGGUUUCUAUUAACGAAAUCCGCGCCGUCGCUAACGCAUUAAGCGCCCCGCCUGGGGGAGGUACGGUCGCGAGACUAAACUACAAUAGAAUAGACGGCGUGAGACGUGCCGAACGGACGACGACGAGGGAGGUAGG
rnacentral:rRNA from 1 species